CGUAGGGUGCGAGCGUUGUCCGGAGUUACUGGGCGUAAAGAGCUCGUAGGUGGUUUGUCGCGUCGUCUGUGAAAUUCCGGGGCUUAACUCCGGGCGUGCAGGCGAUACGGGCAUAACUUGAGUGCUGUAGGGGAGACUGGAAUUCCUGGUGUAGCGGCGAAAUGCGCAGAUAUCAGGAGGAACACCGAUGGCGAAGGCAGGUCUCUGGGCAGUAACUGACGCUGAGGAGCGAAAGCAUGGGUAGCGAACAGGAUU
rnacentral:rRNA from 1 species